rfam:Oryza sativa Japonica Group DNA, chromosome 4, cultivar: Nipponbare, complete sequence.
GUAUUACUCCCUCCGUCCAAAAAAACUCAACCUAGUAAUAGGAUGGGACACAUCCUAGUACGUCCAGAUUCGUUGUACUAGGAUGUGUCCCAUCCUAGUAUGAGGUUGGGUUUUUUUGGACGGAGGGAGUAACUA